GAUGAACGCUGGCGGCGUGCCUAAUACAUGCAAGUCGAGCGAACGGACGAGAAGCUUGCUUCUCUGAUGUUAGCGGCGGACGGGUGAGUAACACGUGGAUAACCUACCUAUAAGACUGGGAUAACUUCGGGAAACCGGAGCUAAUACCGGAUAAUAUUUUGAACCGCAUGGUUCAAAAGUGAAAGACGGUCUUGCUGUCACUUAUAGAUGGAUCCGCGCUGCAUUAGCUAGUUGGUAAGGUAACGGCUUACCAAGGCAACGAUGCAUAGCCGACCUGAGAGGGUGAUCGGCCACACUGGAACUGAGACACGGUCCAGACUCCUACGGGAGGCAGCAGUAGGGAAUCUUCCGCAAUGGGCGAAGGCCUGACGGAGCAACGCCGCGUGAGUGAUGAAGGUCUUCGGAUCGUAAAACUCUGUUAUUAGGGAAGAACAUAUGUGUAAGUAACUGUGCACAUCUUGACGGUACCUAAUCAGAAAGCCACGGCUAACUACGUGCCAGCAGCCGCGGUAAUACGUAGGUGGCAAGCGUUAUCCGGAAUUAUUGGGCGUAAAGCGCGCGUAGGCGGUUUUUUAAGUCUGAUGUGAAAGCCCACGGCUCAACCGUGGAGGGUCAUUGGAAACUGGAAAACUUGAGUGCAGAAGAGGAAAGUGGAAUUCCAUGUGUAGCGGUGAAAUGCGCAGAGAUAUGGAGGAACACCAGUGGCGAAGGCGACUUUCUGGUCUGUAACUGACGCUGAUGUGCGAAAGCGUGGGGAUCAAACAGGAUUAGAUACCCUGGUAGUCCACGCCGUAAACGAUGAGUGCUAAGUGUUAGGGGGUUUCCGCCCCUUAGUGCUGCAGCUAACGCAUUAAGCACUCCGCCUGGGGAGUACGACCGCAAGGUUGAAACUCAAAGGAAUUGACGGGGACCCGCACAAGCGGUGGAGCAUGUGGUUUAAUUCGAGGCAACGCGAAGAACCUUACCAAAUCUUGACAUCCUUUGACAACUCUAGAGAUAGAGCUUUCCCCUUCGGGGGACAAAGUGACAGGUGGUGCAUGGUUGUCGUCAGCUCGUGUCGUGAGAUGUUGGGUUAAGUCCCGCAACGAGCGCAACCCUUAAGCUUAGUUGCCAUCAUUAAGUUGGGCACUCUAAGUUGACUGCCGGUGACAAACCGGAGGAAGGUGGGGAUGACGUCAAAUCAUCAUGCCCCUUAUGAUUUGGGCUACACACGUGCUACAAUGGACAAUACAAAGGGCAGCGAAACCGCGAGGUCAAGCAAAUCCCAUAAAGUUGUUCUCAGUUCGGAUUGUAGUCUGCAACUCGACUACAUGAAGCUGGAAUCGCUAGUAAUCGUAGAUCAGCAUGCUACGGUGAAUACGUUCCCGGGUCU
rnacentral:rRNA from 1 species